rnacentral:sRNA from 1 species
UGAGAUCGGCGCGUGCUUGUCAAUUUUUAGCUGAACAAGGCUAUGAAGUCGUUAAUGUUCAAGGUGGUAUGACUGCCUUUGAAGAACUAUAAACGUAAGAAUUUCUCCUACUUGGUGUGGUCUGGGUAGGAGAGUUUUA